rfam:Sarcophilus harrisii ctg7180001393679, whole genome shotgun sequence.
GAAUAGGCUUCAUUAGAAGCUAAUAAUAGUAAUAAUAAUAAUAACU